AUUGAACGCUGGCGGCAUGCUUUACACAUGCAAGUCGAACGGCAGCGCGGGCUUCGGCCUGGCGGCGAGUGGCGAACGGGUGAGUAAUGCAUUGGAACGUGCCCAGUAGUGGGGGAUAGCCCGGCGACAGCCGGAUUAAUACCGCAUACGACCUGAGGGUGAAAGCGGGGGACCGAAAGGCCUCGCGCUAUUGGAGCGGCCGAUGUCGGAUUAGCUAGUUGGUGGGGUAAAGGCUUACCAAGGCGACGAUCCGUAGCUGGUCUGAGAGGACGACCAGCCACACUGGGACUGAGACACGGCCCAGACUCCUACGGGAGGCAGCAGUGGGGAAUUUUGGACAAUGGGGGCAACCCUGAUCCAGCCAUGCCGCGUGCGGGAAGAAGGCCUUCGGGUUGUAAACCGCUUUUGUUCGGGAAGAAAUCCUCUGGGCUAAUACCCCGGGGGGAUGACGGUACCGGAAGAAUAAGCACCGGCUAACUACGUG
rnacentral:rRNA from 1 species